rnacentral:rRNA from 1 species
ACGGGAGGCAGCAGUGGGGAAUAUUGCACAAUGGAGGAAACUCUGAUGCAGCGACGCCGCGUGAGGGAAGAAGGUCUUCGGAUUGUAAACCUCUGUUGUCAGGGACGAUGAUGACGGUACCUGACGAGGAAGCCACGGCUAACUACGUGCCAGCAGCCGCGGUAAAACGUAGGUGGCAAGCGUUGUCCGGAAUUACUGGGUGUAAAGGGCGUGUAGGCGGGACUGCAAGUCAGAUGUGAAAACUAUGGGCUCAACCCAUAGCCUGCAUUUGAAACUGUAGUUCUUGAGUGCUGGAGAGGCAAUCGGAAUUCCGUGUGUAGCGGUGGAAUGCGUAGACAUCGGGAGGAACACCAGUGGCGAAGGCGGCCUACUGGGCACCAACUGACGCUGAGGCUCGAAAGUGUGGGUAGCAAACAGGAUUAGAUACCCUGGU